CUGUUGGAAAGCUGUUGGAGUGGAGCUGAAGAAAGCUUGAAGAUAACAUUUUGUUUCGCCGGUUGAAAGCUGCUGAUAAAAGCCAAGGACGGUUAUCAGGAAAAAUAAGGAGGUGAAGAAGUGGAUAUACUGAAAAGCAAGAGGAACAGUUGCGGUGGGGAAGUGAAUAAAAGCUGAAUCAAACAAGUUUAAGGGAUUUUAAUUGUCAUUUUGCACUGAGGUGAGUGUUCAUGAGUUUGCCAAACAUAAUUGC
rnacentral:lncRNA from 11 species